UCCUAGCCCUGAUGGAAGCGGCAUCCUUUUUUGUACGGCUGUGUCCUCUGACGCAGCCGUACAAAAAAGAUAUAGCGGACAGCAGGUUCCCGG
rnacentral:sRNA from 1 species